GAUGAACGCUGGCGGCGUGCCUAAUACAUGCAAGUCGAGCGAACAGAUGAGGAGCUUGCUCCCCUGACGUUAGCGGCGGACGGGUGAGUAACACGUGGAUAACCUACCUAUAAGACUGGGAUAACUUCGGGAAACCGGAGCUAAUACCGGAUAAUAUAUUGAACCGCAUGGUUCAAUAGUGAAAGACGGUUUUGCUGUCACUUAUAGAUGGAUCCGCGCCGCAUUAGCUAGUUGGUAAGGUAACGGCUUACCAAGGCAACGAUGCGUAGCCGACCUGAGAGGGUGAUCGGCCACACUGGAACUGAGACACGGUCCAGACUCCUACGGGAGGCAGCAGUAGGGAAUCUUCCGCAAUGGGCGAAAGCUUGACGGAGCAACGCCGCGUGAGUGAUGAAGGUCUUCGGAUCGUAAAACUCUGUUAUUAGAGAAGAACAAAUGUGUAAGUAACUAUGCACGUCUUGACGGUACCUAAUCAGAAAGCCACGGCUAACUACGUG
rnacentral:rRNA from 1 species